UGGAACAUAGAGGAAAUAUAUUAUCUAGAGUCCCGACCGGUACCCGUCCUACCUGAAACACCCUCAAAUUUUAUUCGAGGUGAACUCUCCCAAAUUCGAGGUGAACUCUCUCAAAUUCUCUAUCGGUGAAUACAUGUGAGUGGAGAAAAAAAAGCAAAAUGGGGGAUUGGGCUAAAAAGAAACUUAUGGAAUUUUUGUGACCUGUCAAAAAUGACAAUCAAUUUUGCAAAACAAAACAAUGGGUUUCGGAUUUUAAGAACCAAAAUUCUUUAUAAUGAAGAGGGUAUAUACAAUCUUCACUUCAUUGAAUAAAAAAUAUUGCCAAAAUGCAGGAAGCAAUUUCCUUUAAGUAAUUUGGAAAGCAAACCAAACAAGGCGCUGAUUUGCUGAUGCUGCCCAUUGUUUUUGUAUGUACUUCUCAAUGGCAAGAGCUGCCGCAGGCGUUGACUGCGGAGGUGUCACCAUCAAAACCAUUAGAAACAACACCACCAAGUCAAUGAUGCAAGUGGAAGUUUUGCCAUGUAAUAGUCAACCGCUGACGCCCUUCUCCAUCAAUUGUGUGUAAAGAGUUUAGUACCAGUCUGCAGUUCUGCAAGAGACGCAAGAAAAACAAGAAUACAAUCGCAGGAACUCAAAAAUUGUCCAACCUUGACUGUAAGAGAGUUCAAAUUUUAAAUCUACAAUGAAUCCAUUUAUUUUGCUCCUAAGAAUCGCACUGGCUUAAAGGUGGCAAUCAUUCGAAGGCAAAUGAGCUGGCCCGACAAGAAUCCCCAAGAAGCCAAACAGAUUCAGAUCAGUCUCUCGGCAGCUACUGACGAUGUCGGCGAGUGGAAUCCAUUGAUUUUCACACAGAAAAUCAACAUCAAAAAAAUCACGACAAUUUAGCAGCGUCAUGGUCAACCUGCCGAUCAACUAUUCACAGUGAAUAACCUCCAUUCGCAGCGGAAGCGAUCUCUGCGUUGUCGACAAUGCGAAAACAAUGUCAUCAAGCCGGAGUACCAUCCAGGAUCGAUCAAGUAUCGCAUUCAAUUGCUUGCUAACUACCAUGUGCCCAACGUUCUGCUUGUGCGUUGUGAAAAGCCACUGAAGCCUGGCAAGUCCACUUAAUUGAUCCUCAAGCUAACUAACCCAACGAUGUACCAUAUGGCCACAACCAUUAUGAAACUGCCAACCAAGGAAGAGAAACGGCAAAUGAUCGACUUCGAAUAAAAGUUCAACGAAAGGAACCAAAUUUCACCACUUGAAGGAAGUCCAAUAAAGUAACAAUCAAAUUGAACUUCACACCUGAAGGACUGAAACCAGGCGAUGAUGUUACCCUUAGUUUCUUGAUGAAAUAUACUUUUGUGAAUACAUACACACGACCGAAAAGAAAGAACGUCAAAAACACGCAUUAUCAUCGAAAGUUUUUGUAAAAGUUGGUCAAAUUGAAGCCUAAAUUUAUUUCUAUGUAUAUCUAGAAAUUAAUCUUUUUUGCAAACAACUUGUUUAUUUAUUUUGACCUAUAGUGUACAUUUUGUAUAUAUUGUAUAUUCUACUAUU